rnacentral:rRNA from 1 species
CAGCAGCCGCGGGAAUACAGAGGAUGCAAGCGUUAUCCGGAAUGAUUGGGCGUAAAGCGUCUGUAGGUGGCUUUUCAAGUCCGCCGUCAAAUCCCAGGGCUCAACCCUGGACAGGCGGUGGAAACUACCAAGCUGGAGUACGGUAGGGGCGGAGGGAAUUUCCAGUGGAGCGGUGAAAUGCGUUGAGAUCGAAAAGAACACCAACAGCGAAAGCACUCUGCUGGGACGACACUGACACUAAGAGACGAAAGCUAGGGGAGCAAAUGGGAUUAGAUACCCCUGUAGUCCCUGUCUCUUAUCC